rnacentral:misc_RNA from 1 species
CUCUCUCUCUCUCUCUCUCAUGCAUGUAAAUCCACAGUAAAGACAUUUUUUUUUUUCCCUUUCUGGGAGAAGGGGUGGGUGGGUUAAGCUCUCUGUAAUCUCUACUCUUUUCAACUUUCUCUGCAUACGCCAUUUUCUAAUGCUGAGUACUCAGGCAUUGGAGGACCUCGCCACCACCGGGAGCAGUUCUGGUCCCCCAACACCACCCCCACCCCCACUCUCUUCUCUGAUGCAUGUAAAGCCACAGUACAGACAAAAUGGCAGUGUUUUUCUUUUUGGGGGAAGGGUUGGGUAGGUGGGUUAAGCUCUGUGUUAUAUCAAAUCUUCCUAACGCUGAGUACUCGGGCAUUGGAGGACCUCACCACCACCGGGAGCAGUCCAAACAAACAACCACCAGCACCAAAGGGAGGCCAAUCUUUGACAUCAUCAGUAACGAAAACACAACAACGAAAAAGAAUAAUAUUAAAGAAGCGUCAUGGACUGGGAUUUAGAGUUACCCUGUACAUAACCUCGAUUCCAUAAUCUGGACGUGGUUGAUCGUUGUACUUCAAUGCAUCAAGCUGGUGCUGUACAGCUUCUUCUGCACUAAAAUUUAGCCUUGGGCCAAAAGGUCUCUUCCGACGAGAUUCAAGCCAAUCAGCAGAGAGAUAAUCAGGUACAUCGGCGGAAGCUCUCAAUCGAGAGCUGACUGAGACGGACGCCGGCUUGCUAUCACCGUUGAAGGGCUUGGAUUUGGAUAACAGAGGGAGAAACUGCGGGGUUGAGAGACAGCAAGUGAACGACAUCGUUUCCAACCUCAAGCAAUCUCCACUCACUGUGUGGAAGUUUCUCGUCUAUGGAACGCGGAAGUCCCAGGAUGGGGUUUGCUUGGAGUCUCUUAUUUGUUUUGAACCGUCCGAUGAUGUUUUCUUGAUAUCGUGCGGUAAGAAAAUGGAAGAAAAGCUACGCUUUAGAUACAUCAUUUCUUAAAACGACUUG